UUCACAAGUACUAAAAACUAUUUAAUUAUAUAUAGGAGAGUAUGAACUUUAUACAAUAUAAAGAGAUCGAAUUAAUGUACCCAAAAAAAAAAAAAGAGAUCGAAUUAUAUUCUAAAUGUUACAUGCAAAAGGAAAAAAUAUGCUUGAAAUUCAAAAGUUUGCCUAUGCUUUGAUUUUAUUAUUUUCCUUACUUUUUGUUGCAGCGAAAUUUGACGAUUAUUAUCAUGAACCAUAUUGUGAAGAUGAUGCCGAUUGUGAACAAGUUUGGAACAUGUAUUAUGUUUGUAAGUGCAUUAAUGAAAGAUGUAAAUGGGUUAAAAAGCCUCUUUGAUUCUAUGAGUAUUAAACUCAAUAGAUUAGAAAAACACCCUACAAAGAAGAAUAAGUUAAUUAUUGUGUGGCAUAUUAAUGUGCAACAUACAUUUUGAUAGAAUUAGUUAUUAUAUAUGCAUUCAAUAAUUUUAUUUUA